UGAUCAGGGGAGUUCUCAACACUCAGUGCUC
rnacentral:piRNA from 1 species